rnacentral:rRNA from 1 species
AUGGCUUGUUUUAAUUCGUUGAUAAACCAGCAGAAACCACGGUGUCAUGUUUCUAAUAACAACGUCUUUAGGCUGGUUAAUGUUUGUAUUGGAGCCCACUACCUUUUAUUUCGCUUGUUUCUUACCAUCUUCCUUGCUUCUCUGGUUGUUUCACGGUUGGGAUGGUGGCGUGGCGUUGGGGCUGUCUUGCGGGUCGGCCGUAGAGGGAGCACACCGAGUGGGCUUCUAAGAUGGAUGAGACCGUGGUUCUCAAGGUGGUCUGGCUGUCACCGCCGCCCCUGCUCGACGAUGCUGCACCCCUGCUCGAUCACUUAA